CCCACGGAGCAGAACGAGAGAGGGAGUUGUCCGAGGAUAGUUCUGUCGUUGCCCGCACUACACGUAAGGAGCCGAGCUAACUGAUAGCAGCGGUCUGCACGUCGGGAGCAACCCAUAGGACACACCUACCAACCAUGAACUGGACCAGCAAGAGGGUUGGAGCAAGGCCCCUCCCUCGGGGUGUUGUAGCGCUUCCACUCAUGGUAAGAGUUCCUCUUGGCCACCACAGCGUUCCCAGCGACAGCCACCUUCCAGCGAGAAGCUCCGUACAGCAUGUGUCCUCGACAGCGCCACCACAGCACGGGAUGGGAGGUGUCGCACUCGAACAUGGCGAGAGGUUGCACGGCGUCCGAUAUGUCAAGGCCCAAGCACGUGCUGCUGCCCGAGUUGAAAAGGCGAUGGUGUGAGACCCACUUCCACAACAUGCCGCGCGUGGGCCGCUGGCAGUCCCGCAGCACCAGGCUAGAACCUUCCACGGACACGCAGCGCUUUAGCCGGUCGCUCUCCAGGAUGAACAGACCCUUCUCUGGAGAGGAUAGGAGGAGGAGGGCAAGAAGACCAUAUUUUCACUAAAUGAAAUAUGUACAAUCUACACACUGCAAGUAUAUAUAUCAUUUAGUAACAGACACCUUCAUAACAAUAUGUAAUAUGUACAAUAUACACACUGCAAGAAUAUAU